AACGAACGCUGGCGGCAUGCCUAACACAUGCAAGUCGAACGAGACCUUCGGGUCUAGUGGCGCACGGGUGCGUAACGCGUGGGAACCUGCCCUUAGGUUCGGAAUAACUCCCCGAAAGGGGUGCUAAUACCGGAUAAUGUCUUCGGACCAAAGAUUUAUCGCCUUUGGAUGGGCCCGCGUUGGAUUAGCUAGUUGGUAGGGUAAAAGCCUACCAAGGCGACGAUCCAUAGCUGGUCUGAGAGGAUGAUCAGCCACACUGGGACUGAGACACGGCCCAGACUCCGACGGGAGGCAGCAGUGGGGAAUAUUGGACAAUGGGCGAUAGCCUGAUCCAGCAAUGCCGCGUGAGUGAUGAAGGCCUUAGGGUUGUAAAGCUCUUUUACCCGGGAUGAUAAUGACAGUACCGGGAGAAUAAGCUCCGGCUAACUCCGUG
rnacentral:rRNA from 1 species